rnacentral:rRNA from 1 species
UACGUAGGUGGCGAGCGUUGUCCGGAUUUACUGGGCGUAAAGAGCGCGCAGGCGGUCGUUCAAGUCGCGUGUGAAAGCCCCCGGCUCAACUGGGGAGGGUCACGCGAUACUGAUCGACUCGAAGGCAGGAGAGGGAAGUGGAAUUCCCGGUGUAGUGGUGAAAUGCGUAGAUAUCGGGAGGAACACCUGUGGCGAAGGCGGCCAUCUGGACGACGACUGACGCUGAGACGCGAAAGCGUGGGUAGCAAACAGG